rnacentral:lncRNA from 1 species
UGUAUCUUUUAAAAAGAUGGAAGAUCCUAUUAGAUCUAUGAGGUGGUAGAGAUACUACUUCUACUAGCUUAGUUUGAAUAGGUUCUAAGUGGUCUAUGACCUACUGCUCUUUAGAGACUGUCUCUUCAAGUUUAAUUUGUCUUCCACUACCUCCAUCUUAGAUAAAUAGUUUUUUCAAGAAUGUGGCAUGUCGGCUCACAAUCACAUUGUGAUCCUCUGAGAAGUAAAAAUAAUAUCC